ensembl:lncRNA
AUUCAGUCGUGGGAUGGGAUUGAAGAUUCUUCCUUCCUUUGCAAAAAAGGUGUAGCUGCAAAUUGAAGGUGUACAUUUUGUAUUUGGCAACGGGUUGGCUGAUAGAGUUUGGACUGACACUCCUCCCGCACCGGUGGUCAACGGUUUCAUCAGUUGAUUCUACGUCUGACAAGAGCUCCAGAGUGUUGCCUGGAGGUCUACUCAUUCUGCAUAUUUACACGCGCUACACUAAAAAAAACGAUUCAAGCCCUUCUUAGAUGUGACAAGUUUAAAUGGUGUUUGCUUCAUUUGAAUACAUCUAUUAAAAAGGUGAACAUAUAUAAUCAAUAGCAGCAACUUAAAAUGGUUUUUAUAGUUUCACUUCUGAAACUGUGUCAACUCAAAUAAAUUAAUUAAUCAAUGACUAUGCUUUGCGCAUGUGCCACAUUCUGCGCCUUUAGCGUCGUUCUGCAUUUUUUUGCUGACUGAAAUUGGCUGCAUCAUACUUUUUUCUGGCUCUGGUAGAAAUCCAUUAUUUGUUUGGCUCAGUAUCACCAAGGCUAUGGAGGAAACCUCUGUAUGAUAGAUUCUGCAUGCAGAGGUGUAAGGAAUGUGGUUUGGAUCUGGAUUUGAGGUUGUGUUAAAAGGGAUGUGGCCGCAUAUAUUAAAACAGUCGCAGAGAAAGUGUCGGAGUUGAAUUGUGUCAUUGCAACACCAGAACGUAGGAAGGACUUUUGCGCAUGAAUGUUUCACUUACGCACAUGCAUGAACUGGAUUUGCGCACUCGGAUUUUUACAGCGAUUUGGAUAUUUAACAUAAUUACGUAAGGCAGAGGUCAACGUUUUUCAAGCCAAGGUCCCCCAAACUGAUGGCGAGGUGGAGCUGGACCCCCUAUUCUACGGAAUUUGGUCCGCCAUCUUUUAUUUUUGAGCUUCACGCUCUUUAGACGUGAGCAUAAACGCGAUCUGAUUGGCUGGUGCCGGCGCUGUCAUAUUCGCAUGAAAGGAGCUGUGAGUGAACCGGUGCCCAGCUUGAGAGCUGCUGAGGGAAGCUGAAUGUGUGUGUUGCGGACUGACAGAUAAUGUCUUCUCCAUCAAUUUAUCCGUUCGCUUCAAUAUGUUGGAUUCAUGUAAUGUGUAUUUAAAGACCAUAAAUAAAAUUCUGAUUCUGAAGACAUUUACAUUUGUGGGGGAAAAACAUUGUUAAUAAAAAUUGUCCUAUCAACCAAAAAUUUCGCGACCCCCCCUGCAGUACCUUCGCGGACCCCCUGUUGAAGACCUGACGUAAGGGUUUUUUACCCAUUGGCACACACAGAGUGCUCCCUGCUUUCAUCUGCACGGAUAUUUAACACCUGGGUUUGCUCAUUGUUCUAGUUUGAAGCACUGAAACUAGAACCACCAGAAGUUAUUUUCACUGGGAGUGAUUUCAUUUAACUGUGUUGAAUAAUCGGCCAAUUAACUGCCGCUAUUGCUUUCGUUAAAAGCAGACUGUGUUUAAAAUAUAAAAGCUUAAAAAAAAAAAAAAAAAUAGCCUUCUAAAAAAAGCAAAAAGUUUUUUCGCUUAUCCUGUGACAUCAUCAUUGUCACUCAUUCAGGCUUUGAUGUUGACCCUCUGACAUCAUCGAGGGAACCGACCAAUGAGGUUUUAGAACUCUUAUGGACACGCCCCUUUCCUUUGAUCUUUGCUAUGACUGCAUUGUUGGUCAUUAGUCAAGCCCCCUGCCUUUGAUCUAACUGCCCGAUUGUUCAUUAGCAGUUCAACUUAACAGCUACACACAUGCACACACAGACGUCUGACAGCAUGUACCCAAGACAAAGCAGAGUUUGUACCCCUGCAGUGCAAUUGGCACAGCUGACUGAUGCCAAGGACAAGAUUGUCCAACUGACAAUUCAGCUGAUGGAACUGGAGGAUUUCAAAAGGUACACCCUCCAAGACGGACAGAAUUUCCACCUCAAAAUGCAACAACACAAAGAGAGAAUGGAAGACCUGGAAAAGACUGAGGCAAAAUACAAGCUAGCACUGGAAACGGUCUCUGUCCAAAACCAACAGAUCUCUAUGCUAUGCGAAGAGAAAGAUGCAUGGCAGAAAGAAAAGACACUCUUGGAGGACAUUUGCCUGGAUCUGAAAAGAAAAACUCAAAGCGUUUGUAUGAUGGGGGGCCGCAAGUUCGAGCUGGGGAAAAUGAAGAGACAAAAGCUUGCUCAACAGGAAGAUAACACGGAGAAUGAAUUUUCCAGCGCGACGCUUGAGGUCGACCAAAAUGUGGAAAAGGUCGCCUCUCUCCCUUCUCCAGCACAAGAUUGUUUGGAGAACCUUCAAGUGACGGGGAUGACCGAGGCUAAGCAGACCAUCGAGACACAAGGGUCAGAAAUCUCCCGUCUGAAGGAGAGUCUUCAAGAUCUCCAGAAGACAGUUGAAGAUCAUGAGGCAGACAUUCAAAAGCUCUCUGAACAAAAUCUCCUGCUUGUAAAGGAGGCAGACCUCCAGAGGUCCACCAACCUCAACCUUCAGAAGCAGCUCUCAAAGAGCAGAAGUCUCCUCACGGCAAAGACAACCGAAGUCCUCCAGAUCCAGACAAACUUUGAGAAACCGUAUUAUAUUCUGAUGGCAGAACACAAUAAUCUGCGGAUAGCCCUCCACGCUGAGCAGGCCAAGCGCAAGUGCCUGGAGGAGAUUAAUAACCUCCUGGUGAAAGAUCAGAAGCUCCUGGAGGACAUCUGCCUGCAGAUGAAGAAAAGGCUCCUAGGAAUCUUUGGAAGGAGGAUGGAAGACAGAGACACAGAGAUGGCAAAGAUGAGGAGAAAGAUGCCGGGAAUGGAGACUGAGAGGGGAGUUUUCCACAGGAUCUUCAGGAGGUAGACUCCCUUUUAAGGUUUUUCUCCCGGUACUCGGGUUUUUCAAAAAAUAUAAGCUGGUGGUAGACAGUGGUUAGCACUGCAGAACUACCUCCAUUAGUCCUUCCCUCUCUUCCCCUAUGAAGUUUUUCUCCCGGUGCUCGGGUUUUUCAAAAAAUAUAGGCUGGUGGUAGACAGUGGUUAGCACUGCAGAACUACCUCCAUUAGUCCUUCCCUCUCUUCCCCUAUGAAGUUUUUCUCCCGGUGCUCGGGUUUUUCAAAAAAACAUUCUCUUUAGGCUGGUGGUAGUGUCAUAGCUGAAUGAAGAGAAUAACUCAAACACAAUGGCAAUAACGCGUGGCGACUGCAGCAGGGAGUGAAGGCCAGGUUUGCCUCCUCUGGAUCUCUCUUAACUGGCAGGGGUAUGGCAUAUAUAGACCGUAGGAGACACCGGGCCCAGGUGCUCUCCAUUACAUUACAUUACAUGUCAUUUAGCUGACGCUUUUAUCCAAAGCGACGUACAAUAAGUGCAUUCAACCACAGGGUACAAACUCAGGAGAACAAGAAACAAGAAAGUGCAAUUUCCUCAAAUAAGCGAAUUUACAAUUUGCUAUAGAUGAGUGACGUCACAAGUACAAUUUAAGUGCUACAAUUUGUUAGUCUUUAGUCGAGGUAGAGUCUGAAGAGGUGUGUCUUUAGUUUGCG